UAGAGGUUCGUUUGCUGGUUCUUCACAAGUUGAUCAACAACUGGAAGAUGGAUCGAAAACUUCUCAUCGUUCUUCUCAUCGCGCUCAUCUGCUUCGCUGAGCAGGGAGAGAGUUGGUGUUAUCGUCGUCGUGGAUAUUUCCGUCGUCGUCGAUAUCAUUGGCGUCGUCGUCGUCGUUAUGACCAACAAAGUGCCGAGGACAUGAACGAAGACGAGGAAUCAGCUGGAGAUGAAAUAGAAGACAUCUCGGCUGAAGAGGAUAUGCCGGAAAUGUAGAUGAAAGAAACGUACAGCUUCAGUGACUCAAAGAAAUAUGUUUGCUGAAACUAAUCUUUCUCGUCCUCGAGCAAUAAAAACAAACUAAAUGCAAA